rnacentral:rRNA from 1 species
GUAGGGUGCAAGCGUUAAUCGGAAUUACUGGGCGUAAAGCGUGCGCAGGCGGUGAUGUAAGACAGAUGUGAAAUCCCCGGGCUCAACCUGGGAACUGCAUUUGUGACUGCAUCGCUAGAGUACGGCAGAGGGGGAUGGAAUUCCGCGUGUAGCAGUGAAAUGCGUAGAUAUGCGGAGGAACACCGAUGGCGAAGGCAAUCCCCUGGGCCUGUACUGACGCUCAUGCACGAAAGCGUGGGGAGCAAACAGGAUUAGAUACCCUGGUAGUCCACGCCCUAAACGAUGUCAACUGGUUGUUGGGUCUUCACUGACUCAGUAACGAAGCUAACGCGUGAAGUUGACCGCCUGGGGAGUACGGCCGCAGGGUUG